rnacentral:rRNA from 1 species
AUGGUGCACAGGCUUACACACGAAGGUGAAGAGGCUGCCCUCACCAUGGAGGGGAGGAAGAGGGAGUCGACGGCGACAAGGAGGAGGAGAAGGAGGCAAGGUGGCGGAGACGCCAUCGCGGCGAUCAAGAGGAGGAUGCUGCGUUGCAGCGAGGCCGGAGAACGGGUGAGGUUCAAGCGGAGCUACUUGGCAGGCGCAGGCGGCGGCGAGCAGGGCGACGGCGCCUCCGCCGUCUUCUUCUACCUGGCCUGCAUCGCCUGUGCGCCGGCUUAG